GAUCUGCUGUAGUCUACAACUGGACGCUUGCACUCAGAUCACACUGGCACAGGAUGCCAUCACAUUGAAACAGGAUAUCCAUGCACCGGAAGGUCUGAGGGAUACAGUCCUGUUGGACUGGAAAAGAAAGAGACAUUUGGUCAGUGUCUGGAUCUUCCUCUUCUGCCAUGGUGGACCUUUCUGGUAAAUACAGGACCAUUUCUCUUUCCACCAGAAAAUGGCAGCUGCAGACCCGAGUGUCCAGUCCGCCCAUCUAAAAGACAAAAAAAUGAACAAUCUGUAGCAGAGCCUGGACUUAUGGAGGCUUCAGCAGUGUCCAAUACAUCCCAACUCAGGAUCCACGAGAGCAGUGGGACGGUCACGUGAUCUUCCAUCUCCAGGGGCAGGUUGUGUCCUGGGUUAUCAGCCGGCCCUGGCUCCGUGGACUCUGAGCCAGACCGAGGCCCCUGGGGUGUACGAAUGGUUCCGGCACUCAGAAGAGGUUUGGAGUGAUGCUCAUGUGAGGCUCCAGCGUGCCGUCCAUCGCCAGAUGGAGCUGUCCAGAGGUUUGACAUCGCUGGUUUUUACUAACCAUCGGUCCUGGCAUUCAUCAUUACGCGCACCUGGCAUUCAUCAUUUCACUGAUUACUUCCCCAAUAUCUGUCACUCCCGUAGUUCUAUUCCCCAUGCAGUAUUGACUAUGUGUUCCAUAUUUGUACGCUACUCGUGUUUCUUGUAUUGUUCCAUUUAUUAUUAAACUCACCCCUG
rnacentral:lncRNA from 1 species